AGAGUUUGAUCAUGGCUCAGGACGAACGCUGGCGGCGUGCUUAACACAUGCAAGUCGAGCGGAAAGGCCCUUUCGGGGGUACUCGAGCGGCGAACGGGUGAGUAACACGUGAGUAAUCUGCCCUUGGCUUCGGGAUAGCCACCGGAAACGGUGAUUAAUACCGGAUACGACACAUCACUGCAUGGUGCGUGUGUGGAAAGUUUCUUCGGCCAGGGAUGUGCUCGCGGCCUAUCAGCUUGUUGGUGGGGUAAUGGCCUACCAAGGCUUCGACGGGUAGCCGGCCUGAGAGGGUGACCGGCCACACUGGGACUGAGACACGGCCCAGACUCCUACGGGAGGCAGCAGUGGGGAAUAUUGGACAAUGGGCGGAAGCCUGAUCCAGCAACGCCGCGUGAGGGAUGACGGCCUUCGGGUUGUAAACCUCUUUCAGCACAGACGAAGCGCAAGUGACGGUAUGUGCAGAAGAAGGACCGGCCAACUACGUGCCAGCAGCCGCGGUAAUACGUAGGGUCCUAGCGUUGUCCGGAAUUAUUGGGCGUAAAGGGCUCGUAGGCGGUUUGUCGCGUCGGGAGUGAAAACACCGGGCUUAACUCGGUGCUUGCUUUCGAUACGGGCAGACUAGAGGUAUUCAGGGGAGAACGGAAUUCCUGGUGUAGCGGUGAAAUGCGCAGAUAUCAGGAGGAACACCGGUGGCGAAGGCGGUUCUCUGGGAAUAUCCUGACGCUGAGGAGCGAAAGUGUGGGGAGCGAACAGGAUUAGAUACCCUGGUAGUCCACACCGUAAACGUUGGGCGCUAGGUGUGGGGUCCAUUCCACGGAUUCCGUGCCGCAGCUAACGCAUUAGCGCCCCGCCUGGGGGAGUACGGCGCAAGGCUAAACUCAAGGAAUUGACGG
rnacentral:rRNA from 1 species